GGCCGCGUGGCAAAAUGGUUACCGCGCUUGACUACGAAUCAAGAGAUUCCAGGUUCGACCCCUGGCGUGGUCG